AGGGCACCACCAGGAGUGGAGCCUGCGGCUUAAUUUGACUCAACACGGGGAAACUUACCCGGCCUGGACACUGGAAGGAUUGACAGAUUGAGAGCUCUUUCUUGAUUCAGUGGGUGGUGGUGCAUGGCCGUUCUUAGUUGGUGGAGCGAUUUGUCUGGUUAAUUCCGAUAACGAACGAGACUCUAGCCUAUUAAAUAGGCUCUCGGCAUUUAAACGCCGGGAGGACUUCUUAGAGGGACAGGUGGCGGUUCAGCCGCACGAAAGAGAGCAAUAACAGGUCUGUGAUGCCCUUUGUUGUCCGGGGCCGCACGCGCGCUACACUGAAGAGAUCAGCGUGCUUUACGUUCCUGCUCCGACCGGAGUGGGGAACCCAGUGAACCUUCUUCGUGAUUGGGAUAGAAGAUUGAAAUUAUUCUUCUUGAACGAGGAAUUCCCAGUAAAUGCGAGUCAUAAGCUCGCGUUGAUUACGUCCCUGCCCUUUGUACACACCGCCCGUCGCUACUACCGAUUGAACGAUUU
rnacentral:rRNA from 1 species